GACCCCCGGCCCUGAGGCCGGGUCUGGCAGAAGCGUCCGGGCUGCAGCGAGUGGACCCCGGCCCGAGCGGGCCCACCCGGGCCUCGGGUCGCCACAGCUGCCGGGCCCUCCUCGCCCUCGGUGGUCGGAGAAUCCCGAUACCGGAAAUGGACCAAUUUUGACAAGAUGUAGUGCUGCAGUGUGCCUGAUGGGAUAUGUUCAGUCAUGGCAUCCGAACUUUGUAAGACGAUCUCUGUGGCAAGGCUGGAAAAGCACAAGAAUUUGUUCUUAAAUUAUAGGAAUCUGCAGCAUUUCCCAUUGGAGUUACUAAAAGAUGAGGGACUACAGUACUUGGAGAGACUCUACAUGAAAAGGAACUCCCUUACAACCUUGCCAGAAAACCUUGCUCAGAAGCUUCCAAACCUUGUGGAACUGUAUCUUCACUCAAAUAACAUAGUUGUGGUUCCGGAAGCCAUUGGGUCCCUUGUAAAACUACAGUGUUUGGAUCUUAGUGACAAUGCCUUAGAAAUUGUUUGCCCAGAAAUUGGUCGUCUGAGAGCUUUACGUCAUCUUCGAUUAGCUAAUAACCAACUGCAAUUCCUACCUCCAGAGGUUGGCGAUUUGAAGGAGCUGCAGACACUAGACAUUUCUACCAAUCGUUUGCUAACUUUACCCGAGAGGCUUCACCUGUGCCUUUCUCUGCAGUACCUCACUGUGGACCGAAAUCGUCUGUGGUGUGUGCCGCGCCAUCUCUGCCAGCUGCCCAGCCUCAAUGAGCUCUCCAUGGCUGGAAACCGUCUUGCAUUUUUGCCGCUUGAUUUAGGUCGAUCUCGAGAACUACAAUAUGUGUACGUGGAUAACAACAUUCAUCUGAAAGGCUUGCCGUCCUAUCUGUACAACAAAGUCAUCGGGUGCAGUGGCUGUGGUGUUCCCAUUCAAGUUUCCGAGGUGAAGCUGCUUUCCUUUUCAUCAGGGCAACUAACAGUUUUCCUCCCUGCUGAGGUGAAGGCCAUAGGGACAGAGAAGGAUCACGUCCUGCCUCUGCAAGAGCUGGCCAUGAGGAGUCUGCAUCACACCUACCACAGUUUUCUAAAAGAUCUGGACUUUCUGUCUCCAGUCUCGUUACCCAGAAGUCUUCUGGAGCUGCUGCACUGCCCCUUGGGGCACUGUCACCGGUGUAGUGAGCCCAUGUUUACGAUUGUUUACCCCAAGCUAUUUCCCUUGAGAGAGACGCCAAUGGCAGGACUGCACCAGGGGCCUCUCACCGUUGUGACCUCUCCCAUUGCGGAGCACAGGCUCCAGAUGCGCAAGCUCAGUGGCCAUGGCUCACGGGCCCAGCUGCUCCGCAGCAUGUGGGAUCUUCCUGGACCGGGGCACGAACCCAUGUCCCCUGCAUCGGCAGGCAGACUCUCAACCACUGCGCCACCAGGGAAGCCCUAGAUCUGAAUUUUUUACCUAUACCCUUUCCUCUCCCUGAAGAACUCCUUUCAACCUUUCUUGCAGGACAAGUUCGCUGGCAAUGAAUUCCCUUAGUUCUCAGUUUGUUUGAAAAAUUCUUUAUACUCCUUUACUUUUGUAGGAUAAUUUCACUGGAUAUAAAAUUCUAGGAGGACAACUGUGAGUUUUGUGGCUUACUGCUGCUCCACCCAGUGUCUGCAGACUUUUGACCUACUGAGUUGAUAAACACUCAAGAGCCUCAGGAGUGUUGCCAGCUUGACACUGCAGUUGCCUGCAUAUCGCACAGUGUGACAGAGGGACAGGAGAGUCCAGCCAGGCCCAACAGGCCCUUCCGAUCUGUCCUGUCACGCUUGGGGACUGCAGGACUCUGGAAAUGUCAUGAUUGAGCUUCAGAGCUGAAAUGCCUUCACCCUUCCCCCAAGUUGGAAUAUAUCCUUUCCCAAAUUAAGAA